AUUAAACGCUGGCGGCAUGCCUUACACAUGCAAGUCGAACGGCAGCACGGGGGCAACCCUGGUGGCGAGUGGCGGACGGGUGAGUAAAGCAUCGGAACGUAUCCUGGAGUGGGGGGAUAACGUAGCGAAAGUUACGCUAAUACCGCAUAUUCUGUGAGCAGGAAAGCGGGGGAUCGCAAGACCUUGCGCUCUGGGAGCGGCCGAUGUCGGAUUAGCUAGUUGGUGGGGUAAAGGCCUACCAAGGCGACGAUCCGUAGCGGGUCUGAGAGGAUGAUCCGCCACACUGGGACUGAGACACGGCCCAGACUCCUACGGGAGGCAGCAGUGGGGAAUUUUGGACAAUGGGCGGAAGCCUGAUCCAGCCAUGCCGCGUGAGUGAAGAAGGCCU
rnacentral:rRNA from 1 species